rnacentral:rRNA from 1 species
UACGGAGGGUGCAAGCGUUCAUCGGAAUUCCUGGGCGUAAAGCGCACGCAGGUGGCUGAGUCAGUCGAUUGUGAAAGCCCUGGGCUUAACCUGGGAAUUGCAGUCGAUACUACUCGGCUCGAGUAUGGGAGAGGGCAGUGGAAUUCCCGGUGUAGCGGUGAAAUGCGUAGAUAUCGGGAGGAACAUCAGUGGCGAAGGCGGCUGCCUGGCCCAAUACUGACACUCAGGUGCGACAGCGUGGGGAGCAAACAGG